rnacentral:lncRNA from 1 species
GACAGACUCCACUCUCCCUGCCUGUCAACCCUUGACCACCUGCUUCCAUCUAGGGAAGGAUAAGAGUUGAGAAAGUCACUCAUAAAUCACCCAAAGGGUAGAAGGUUUUGCCUGGGGCUCUGCUAGUGCAGGUGAAGUGACAUCAUGCAGGCUCUGCAUCUCUACUGCCUCCAUGAAUCCUAAAGGUCGUGACUAGAUGACCCUCAGGUCAUCUCAAUGUUCCCAGUGAGCCCACUGUGGCACAGGUAAGGUUCCAAAAUAGGUUCUGUCCUCCUCAGAUGCCUGGGCAUGACUUGAGGGAGAUGGUCACUCUGCAGAGCCCUUAUGGUCAGGAUGAAGGUGAUGUUGAUCCAAAGGCAGAGCUGGACUGGGAAGGUCAGCAGGAGAUGCAGUGGGAGCCCAGGUGCAAACUUCAGGCCCCAGAAACCACAAGGAGGCAGCGUCCUCAAGAGAAUUCCAGGGGAAUGGAGGGGGUGUCCUCUGCUUAAAUACCCAGGCCCUUUUCUUCCCAGACAAGUGAAUGUGGUUGAAAUCCAAUGCAUUAUAAUCAUUCAAUUCACUAGUAUGUGGAAAUAUUUAUAUGGAGAAUAGAAAAGACUCAAUUGUUUGAAUUAAAGUAUAUUUCUGACAAAGAAAUUUAAAAUAUUAGAGUCACAGAGAAAGGAAAGACUAUGGAGCAGAAGAAAAUAUUCCAUUUAGUUUGUUUGUUUGCUUUUUCCUAAAAGGCCAUUAGGAAUCAGUAUUCUAAGAAAGAAAUGCCAGAGUCUUGUGCAAUGGAGAGAAGGAAUCCCUAUGGGAAACAGGUGAAAUGACAUCAUGCAGAUGGGAUGUCAUGAAGUUACAUCAUGCAGGUGGGAAGCCAUUCUCACACGUGAUUUGAGUUACCUCCCUGGAUGGGUGAGAGGUGCUCAGACAACUGUGUCAGAGCCUUCUCCACCCUGUCCCAGGUGCGAGGGCUUGUCUGUGUGGAGGUGUGCCUGGCCACUGACCCAAAGAUCAAUCACUGACCCUGACCUUGGAAUGCUGCCCCCCCUCGACCUUCAUUGGAUGGGAUUUUCCCUUGGAUUUUUUUGUUCCCCAAUAAAAGCUCACUCCUGGCAUGUCCUCUCUCUCUCUCUCUCUCUCGCUAGCCUCUUGUGUUAACCUUGCCAAUGCAUCAGGUGGCUGGAGGCAGGAGUAAGGAGAAGCCAUGUCCGGAGCUGAGCAUUAAAGGUAACAAGAAUAUGUCUCUUUAAUUUGAAAACUCUAGUUAAUUUUUAUGCUUUGAAGCUCUUUUAUGAAGCUCACAUGCUGGUUGCAUGGCAGAGUGUUUAAGUGAUGGGCACUGGAGGAAUGUAAAUUAAUAUUAGCUGCAUAAACACUGUAUAUAAUAUCUUGCAGAGCUUGAGAUGUAUUAUAUCUGGAUAAC